rnacentral:lncRNA from 1 species
CCGGAACCAUGACCGGAUCCACCCGGAACCAUGACCGGAUCCACCCGGAACCAUGACCGGAUCCACCCGGAAGCAUGACCGGAUCCACCCGGAACCGCUCUGUAAUCUGAUGCUGUUCACUUUUAGCCUGUUUUAUUAAGAGUCUGUGCUGAUUCUGUUUGUACAUAUGAGAAGCUCAAACAAUUACUGUGAAGCGACAGCAGCUCAGUCAGAACCACUAUUUUGUUUUGUUUUGGUCCAGUCUCUUCUGCUGGUGCUGCAGGUGGCGCUGUUGAUAUAUACACGUUAUAUUAUAUUGUGGGAGCAGAGCCUCAGUGCAGUGAAACAUUCCUUCAGGUUCACAGCUGUUCACAUCUGGUUGUAGGACGUCACAUGAAGCUGAAUCAGGUUUCAUGUUGUUUCUUGCUUCAUUUUUUCUAAGCACGUGUUUUCCCACAACCACAUAAAACUGAGCGUUGUCGUUCUUGAACUGAACCGUGAUUUGCUCUGCUGCCAGAGUCGCCCCCUGCUGGUCAAUCUGUGUAAUUACAGGUUACAGCACAGUUAAAUCAGGAGGCGAAGACAGAAAGUAAAAGGCUUCACUGUCAGCGUUCAUCCGCUCUCUGCUUCUCACCACUGCUCCGACCACAGUCUACAGGGAACCAAGGCUGUAACUGGUGCGGGUCAUUGCACAUGGUCCAUGAUGGGGAGGACGUCCUGCUACUGGUCUGACUCUCAGACCAGAGGCUGCAGUCCUCAAACAGAUGGGACAGAGAGAGAGGCCGGAUUAAAGUCACUUUUACCCUCAGAGGCUGAAGAAGUACUUGAACCACAGCUCAGCACCGGAACCGACUGGAGCAAGUAUGAAUGUGUGUUUCCAGGUUCUGGUGCUGAGAGCGACAUCGUCACCAGACUGGACCGAGCUGAGAUCAGAACCAACUGGAGUGAGACUUCAUUCAGAUGUUUUCUUUUGGUUGUUGUUACAUAAACCAGUGGUUCCAGUUCCUCCCCAGAGCUUCCUGCUGGUUCUGUGGUCUGGACUCUUCAUCUGGAGGAAGAACAACGGUUCAGACAUUUUACCCAAAGGUCAUUAAACAUGAAGCUGUUCCGGGUUUAAACCUUCUCCACAGAGUUUUCAGACAGGACUUGACUCGUUUGUUUGUUUGUUACUUGUUCGGCUCCGUCAGAGGAGAGGAUGACGAUCAGACGCUCAGUCUGAGCCGCUCCAAGCUGUGACUUCACUGUGAUCCAGCUGUUUCCCAACAGAUGAGUCACAAACAGCUGAUCUCCCAGAACUCUAGAAAUGUAUCAACACCUGCAGCAGCUCUGACUUCAGUUCUACUAAUAUCAAAUGUUGUAUGCAAUUAUGUCAUUGUGUUUAAACACAACAAUCAUUGUUGGUUCUUGUCACUAAUAAACACAUUUUCCCGUUG